rnacentral:rRNA from 1 species
UACGAGUGCCCCAAGCGUUGUCCGGAAUCACUGGGCGUAAAGGGUUCGUAGGCGGUUGUGUUAGUCUUCUGUAAAAGGCCGGGGCCCAACCUCGGUUUCGCAGGAGAAACGGCACAACUUGAGAACACAAGAGGUACAUGGAACUCACGGUGUAGGGGUGAAAUGCGUAGAUAUCGGGAGGAACACCAGUGGCGAAAGCGGCUACCUGGCCCAUUCUUGACGCUGAGGCGCGAAAGCUAGGGAGCAAACGGG